UACCAUAAACGAUACUAAGUCCAGUUUCAUGGAGAAAUCGAAAGCGCUUCACUUUAAAAAGCCAAAUGGUCAAAACAGUGACAAUGAGUAGUGCAAAAAGCAAGAGAAAUAACGAGCUAUUUAGUUCAUGUUCUCGAGCCGCUUCCUCUUCCUUUAAUUUUUCCGUCUCUGCUUCAUUUGCCUUCGUUAAAGUUGACAGCAUUACACACGCAAUGAAGGUUUGUAACAACAAAACAUAGUGAAGAGAAGCCAUCUUCUAGCAGGAUAUACAACCUCGAUUACAACCAAGCGAUGAAAUAUGAAGCUCUGUUAAUAAUAAACUGACAUAAUCAUCGCCUGAUCCCGGAUUAUUAGACACCUGCAAUCUGUUGACAAUCAUGA